GUGGGGAAUAUUGGACAAUGGGCGAAAGCCUGAUCCAGCCAUGCCGCGUGUGUGAAGAAGGUCUUCGGAUUGUAAAGCACUUUAAGUUGGGAGGAAGGGUUUCUGGCUAAUAUCCAGGAAUUUUGACGUUACCGACAGAAUAAGCACCGGCUAACUUCGUGCCAGCAGCCGCGGUAAUACGAAGGGUGCAAGCGUUAAUCGGAAUUACUGGGCGUAAAGCGCGCGUAGGUGGUUCGUUAAGUUGGAUGUGAAAGCCCCGGGCUCAACCUGGGAACUGCANCCANAACUGGCGAGCUAGAGUAUGGCAGAGGGUGGUGGAANUUCCUGUGUAGCGGUGAAAUGCGUAGAUAUAGGAAGGAACACCAGUGGCGAAGGCGACCACCUGGGCUAAUACUGACACUGAGGUGCGAAAGCGUGGGGAGCAAACAGGAUUAGAAACCCUAGUAGUCC
rnacentral:rRNA from 1 species